rnacentral:rRNA from 1 species
GACGAACGCUGGCGGCGUGCUUAACACAUGCAAGUCGAACGGAAAGGCCCUGCUUUUGUGGGGUGCUCGAGUGGCGAACGGGUGAGUAACACGUGAGUAACCUGCCCUUGACUUUGGGAUAACUUCAGGAAACUGGGGCUAAUACCGGAUAGGAGCUCCUGCUGCAUGGUGGGGGUUGGAAAGUUUCGGCGGUUGGGGAUGGACUCGCGGCUUAUCAGCUUGUUGGUGGGGUAGUGGCUUACCAAGGCUUUGACGGGUAGCCGGCCUGGGAGGGUGACCGCCCACAUUGGGCCUGAGAUACGGCCCAGACUCCUACGGUAGGCAGCAGUGGAGAAUAUUGCACAGUGGGCGGAGGCCUGAUGCAGCAACGCCGCGUGCGGGAUGACGGCCUUCGGGUUGUAAACCGCUUUCGCCUGUGACGAAGCUUGAGUGACGGUAAUGGGUAAAGAAGCACCGGCUAACUACGUG